rnacentral:rRNA from 1 species
GGAUCCCAUCAGAACUCCGAAGUUGAGCGUGCGUACGUGCGCGGAAUAUAUUAAGCACGGUUCCUUAUUUCCGAUCUUCUCGUGCUGAUCAGUBUGAUABAUUAUACGGUUUUUUUCGACAUCGUAUGCAAAAGUUAUAGCCGUUUUACUUUUUCAUAACACUUUUUUGCAAAACAUGUCAAAAUUUAUGUUUUUGAAUUUUCCUAACUAAUAGAUGUAGUAACAUAAAUACAUCUCGAAGGAUUUUAAUUUUUGAAGUUUUUAUCAUUUUCUUUUCUUUUUUUCAAAACUAAAAUGGCGAUAGGGGGGGCAGCAUAAUGGACGAAGGCGGGGGUAACAUGUCGGAUGCGAUCAUACCAGCACUAAAGCACC